rnacentral:lncRNA from 1 species
GAGAAUUGAUAAUUGGGAUUAGAGAGAGCACUUUUUCAGCUAAAAUUUUGGUAUACUGUUUGAUGGAUUUCUAAUUGGAAUAAAAGAGAUAUUGGAGGUUGAAAUUAGUGCUUGCAAAUCUAAGGGUAGCAAGUGACGUGAUUCACUAAUGGUUGUGUUUUGAGCUAUAUCUUGAGCAAUUUGAUGAGGUUUUGGCUCAAAAUUUUGCAGAAUGUAUAUAAUCAUGUUAAUAAACUUUAUGUAUAAAUUUUGUAGAAUUUGAAUUUUGGACUUUUGAGAUAUAAGAAAAAUAGUUUUUGUAUGCUCAUAGAUUAGGAUUUAGAGCACCUGUUAGGAUUUCAAAGAUGCCAGAAGAUUGGUAAUAGAUUUAUGGUUCAUUUUUUUUGUAGUAAAGUUUAAGAAUGGAAUCUAUAUUAAACAAAAAUUUGAUUAAGAGAUUAAAAUUGAAUAGUUGGAUUAAGAGAUAUGAAUUUUUAAAAUUCAAGAUAAAAACAUCCUUUAUGGAAAGAAAAUAUUUUGAAAGGCUUUUUUAUAAUUUGAGCUUUUUUAUAAGAUAAAGAAAUUUUUGAAAGAUAAGACAUCAUAUAUAAGCUAAAG